CUGAUAUUUAUUGAAGGGCCGCGGUAUCUUGACCGUGCGAAGGUAGCAUAAUCAUUAGUCUUUUAAUUGGAGGCUUGUAUGAAUGGUUGGACAAAAAGUAAGCUGUCUCAUCUACAGAGUUUGAAUUUAACUUUUAAGUGAAAAGGCUUAAAUGUUCUAGGGGGACGAUAAGACCCUAUAAAGCUUUACAAUAACUGAAAUACAUUAAGAUUUGUUAGUAUAAUUUGGUUUAUUUUGGGUUUGUUUCGUUGGGGCGACGAGAAUAUAAGUUAGAUAACUGUUCUU
rnacentral:rRNA from 1 species